rnacentral:rRNA from 1 species
AACGCUAGCUACAGGCUUAACACAUGCAAGUCGAGGGGCAGCACGGGAGUAGCAAUACAACUGGUGGCGACCGGCGCACGGGUGAGUAACGCGUAUGCAACCUACCUAUCAGAGGGGAAUAACCCGGCGAAAGUCGGACUAAUACCGCAUAAAACAGGGGCACCGCAUGGCGAUAUUCGUUAAAGAGAUUCGCUGAUAGAUGGGCAUGCGUUCCAUUAGGUAGUUGGUGAGGUAACGGCUCACCAAGCCGACGAUGGAUAGGGGAACUGAGAGGUUGGUCCCCCACACUGGUACUGAGACACGGACCAGACUCCUACGGGAGGCAGCAGUGAGGAAUAUUGGUCAAUGGGCGAGAGCCUGAACCAGCCAAGUCGCGUGAAGGAAGAAGGAUCUAUGGUUCGUAAACUUCUUUUGCAGGGGAAUAAAGUGCAGGACGUGUCCUGUUUUGUAUGUACCCUGAGAAUAAGGAUCGGCUAACUCCGUGCCAGCAGCCGCGGUAAUACGGAGGAUCCGAGCGUUAUCCGGAUUUAUUGGGUUUAAAGGGUGCGUAGGUGGUUUGAUAAGUCAGCGGUGAAAGUUUGCAGCUUAACUGCAAAAAUGCCGUUGAAACUGUCGGACUUGAGUGUAAAUGAGGUAGGCGGAAUGCGUGGUGUAGCGGUGAAAUGCAUAGAUAUCACGAAGAACUCCGAUUG